rnacentral:snoRNA from 1 species
GUGAUGUAGCUUCACCUCGCAGAUCUGUGAAGAAUCCUUUAAGAUCUGA